rnacentral:lncRNA from 1 species
UUUAGGCAAAAGUUUCAAAAUCAUAGCUGUCAACAUUUCUACAUAUUUCCUACAUUUUUCUACAAACAUAAAUAAUUGAAUAAAAAAAUGAUCGGAAAACUAACCACUGGGGCAACUUCAAUGCCACCUUGGUUUCUCUGGUAUCCUAGAACUGUACAUGGCUCUGAAGAAUGAAACGAAGGUAACAGUACAAAAUCCGCCAUCUGGACAACUAAUAAAUCGUGAAAAUCAGCGACAAAGCUGGCACGGUGGCUCCCAUCAUCAAGAAUCGUUUAGUAAUGGCGUUUCAAUUAUACAGAGAUAGCUCAUCAUACCUUUGCUUUGCUCCUGCUCAAGUGAAAGGGGUGGUAUUUCGUACUGUUGUCAAUGGAAAUAACAUUUGUGCCACAAAAGUUUUGAGAAAUAACACAAAGAAGAUAGUUUAUAAUUACUUUUCAAACAGGUAUCUUUUAUUAGUGGAAGUGGCAAUUUGGGUUUUCUGUGCUGUGUUGUCUUCUUAUCAUGUCAAAAUUGAACCAACUAAACUUCUCCUUAUGUAAUAAUUAUAUCAAGAAUCUCAAUUCUUACAGAAAUCCAUUUAUUCUUGUGUCACCUAAUUAAUAAAAUAAUAAAAUUUUCUUCAUUAAAAUAAUAUUUUAACGUACUAUAUUCUUUUAGAAAUGAUGUACUAUCACCUACAAAACAUGACAAAUGUAACACAUAUCUAAUUGACUAAUAUAUAAUUUAAUAUUAAUUGAUUAAUUAAUCCUUCGUAAAACAAGUUAUCAUAUUAGCACGCUUAUGAUAAAUCGUUACAAUUCUUAUUCCAAUUGUUUAAUUUAAACAAUUCAUCAAAAAAGAUUUAGUAAAAAUUAUUUCUGCAUAACAUUCUUGAGAAAAAGAAAUUGAGUUCAAAAUUGAAAAACAAAGAAUAUUUGGAUUUGAAUUCACAUCCAACUCAAACGAAACAGCGAUAUUCAUAAAAAAAAAGUUUGAAUUCUCUUCCCCAAAAAAAAAUAAAUUAUGAGGUUGAUAAUAAAAAUUUUUACAGUAGCUUUCAGUAUUUUUAAGUUAUUAAUUUCCUGCAAAAAUCAUAUAAUACAACGUUCAUAAGCAAAUGCACAUAGUUGAAUCAACCAAAUCAGGGAGAAAAUACAAUACUUAAUUUGAAUGGCAAGCACGACUAACUAAUUUGCAAUUCAGCUCUGACUUGAAUUUUUUAAUAGGGAAUCACUUAGUAAUGACAAUAAAAAAUCCUUGCUUGUUCUUUUUUUUGGAAAAAAAUUUAAUAAUUAUCGAUAAUAAAAUAAUGAUAUCUCGUUCCUUUUUUACCCUCGCAACCUAAUAAAAUUUCCUUAUCUAAUACCCAUAUUAAAACGCACUUUCACUUUCCCUCUUCCAAUUUGGCGCGCGAUCUUCUCAAUUUCAAAAGCCAAAAGGUCAGUCAACUCUCUAAACCGUAAUUUUCUGUUUGUUUCCCGAGAAAAUCCAUGAAAAUGAACCGUUAAAAACAUAAAUAAUUGAAUAAAAAAAAAUGAUCGGAAAACUAACCACCGGGGCAACUUCAAUGCCACCUUGGUUUCUCUGGUAUCCUAGAACUGUACAUGGCUCUGAAGAAUGAAACGAAGGUAACAGUACAAAAUCCGCCAUCUGGACAACUAAUAAAUCGUGCAAAUCAGCGACAAAGCUGGCACGGUGGCUCCCAUCAUCAAGAAUCGUUUAGUAAUGGCGUUUCAAUUAUACAGAGAUAGCUCAUCAUACCUUUGCUUUGCUC